rnacentral:lncRNA from 1 species
UUUUUUUUUUUUUUUCCUUCUACUGAAUGGUAUCCUUAACAUUUAUGCUUACUUCGAAGAGUCUCAUGAAUCCUUCUAAUGAUUCAAAAAAGUGUAAUUAGUGUACACGGCAGAGUACGCUGCUAUAUUUUUGGGUUUGAUGCAUAAUUAUUUCUUUCACAGCACAAUUUUAAUUAAGGUUGAAAUGAAAUUGAAAAUUAAGUUAUAACUGGUAACAGAUUUCUAGCCAGAUAGAGGAAAUUAUUAAAUAUGCUAUUAUGUGUGAUUUUUCUCAAUUCUAUGUAUUUCCUAUAAUAUUCUAUGAAAAUUAAUUUAAAAGUUAUUUUAAUUCUAUAUAUUUUACUUUGAUUUUAAACACUGGUUAAUAUAACUAAUAUUCAUAACAAGUAUGAAUAAUAAUUAGAUGAUAAACAGUCAAUUGUCACAUAAUCUUUUGGUAAUUUUCUAGUAGAGAUUUCUGUUUUUUUAAAUAAAAGUAAUAAAAUUGCUCAAAAAUGAAAUGUAUAGUGGCUUGCAUCAUCAUAUGAUUGCUGUUUUUCCUCUCAUUCACCUCCUUUUCUUAAUUUUGUCCUCAUAAACAAAUUUAGUGUUCUGAUGCUGACCUACUUACCAUCCAGAUGAAACAAAGAAAAGCUCCAGAGAAUAAGUGCUUUGAUUAAAAAGAGAUAGAAUGGUUAAGAUCUAGAAUUUUUCAGUCAUUGUUCAUAGAAUAUAGUAGAUAAGUGGUGGGAAAUUAUAAAUAUGAUGGUAUGGGUUUGAAUCCUGUCUCCUGGCAGUGACUUGUUUUGUGACUUUGGACAAAUUACCAAAACCAUCUAAAUUCCAAUGUUCUCAUGUAUGGGGGGCAAAAAUAUUAUUUGAUAUCAUUAAAUGACAUAAAAGGUAAAUAUUGCUUUGCACAUUUUCUGGCAUGCCGUAAGCAGCUACAAACUAUUAGCUAUUAUUUUAUUAUAAUAAUUCUUCAGGCUCUUCUAUGGUUUUUGGAAAGAGGCUCUAUUCUAAGGCCAUAUACAUUUUCUCUUGCCUAUCUCAUUAUCUGUUCUUUUGUCGCCACAUUUUUUUUAAUCAUUCUUAAUAGAAUAGCUUAUUUGCAUAUAUACUGUCGUAUACUCAAUCAUGAAUGAAACAAUUGUUAAAUUCUUGAAACUUUAUCUCAUCCCUAACUGUAAUUGUAGGAAUUUGUGGAAAAUAAUCCUAGUUUUUAUUGUUUUACUUUAUGGCAGCUAUCAUCUACCUUGUUGUUAUUGUUGGAACUAGACCCCUACUGCCAACAUAAAUCACAAAAUAGUCUUAAAUUUUACUGUAUAAUUGGACCCAAACAAUUUGGUACAAUGGGGCAAAG